GAUGAACGCUGGCGGCGUGCCUAAUACAUGCAAGUCGAGCGAACAGACGAGGAGCUUGCUCCUCUGACGUUAGCGGCGGACGGGUGAGUAACACGUGGAUAACCUACCUAUAAGACUGGGAUAACUUCGGGAAACCGGAGCUAAUACCGGAUAAUAUAUUGAACCGCAUGGUUCAAUAGUGAAAGACGGUUUUGCUGUCACUUAUCGAUGGAUCCGCGCCGCAUUAGCUAGUUGGUAAGGUAACGGCUUACCAAGGCAACGAUGCGUAGCCGACCUGAGAGGGUGAUCGGCCACACUGGAACUGAGACACGGUCCAGACUCCUACGGGAGGCAGCAGUAGGGAAUCUUCCGCAAUGGGCGAAAGCUUGACGGAGCAACGCCGCGUGAGUGAUGAAGGUCUGCGGAUCGUAAAACUCUGUUAGUAGGGAAGAACAAAUGUGUAAGUAACUAUGCACGUCUUGACGGUACCUAAUCAGAAAGCCACGGCUAACUACGUG
rnacentral:rRNA from 1 species